AAAAAGAUAAGCUAAAUAAGCUAUUAGGCUCAUAACCUAAACAUAGAAUUUAAUAUUCUUCUUUUUA
rnacentral:tRNA from 1 species